UCCCUGAUAGCUCAGCUGGUAAAGAAUCUGCCUGCAAUGCGGGAGACCCUGGUUCAAUUCCUGGGUUGGGGAA
rfam:Ovis aries breed Texel chromosome 3, whole genome shotgun sequence.